AUUGAACGCUGGCGGCAGGCCUAAUACAUGCAAGUCGAACGAGUGGCGGACGGGUGAGUAAUGUCUGGGAAACUGCCUGAUGGAGGGGGAUAACUAGGGGAAACGGUAGCUAAUACCGCAUACCAUCGGAUGUGCCCAGAUGGGAUUCGCUAGUAGGUGGGGUAACGGCUCACCUAGGCGACGAUCCCUAGCUGGUCUGAGAGGGUGACCGGCCACACUGGAACGGAGACACGGUCCAGACGCCUACGGGAGGCAGCAGUAGGGAAUCUUGCACAAUGGGCGAAAGCCUGAUGGAGCAACGCCGCGUGAGUGAAGAAGGCCUUCGGGUCGUAAAGCUCUGUCAGUAGGGAGGCGGUACCCACAGAGAAAGCACCGGCUAACUCCGUGCCAGCAGCCGCGGUAAUUC
rnacentral:rRNA from 1 species